UUGAUCCUCCAGUACAAAAGCUGGAAUGAACACAUAAGACGAGAAGACCCUGUGGAGCUUCAAAACCAAAACCACUAAACAUGCUUCUUGGAUUUUUAGUUGGGGCGACUUUGGAGCAAAAAAAACCCUCCAAAACAUGAAUAUAAUUAUUUAGACUAACACACCAAAAAAAUUCUACUAGACCCAGCAGUAUUAUACUACUGUCUGAUUAAUGAACCAAGUUACCCCAGGGAUAACAGCGCCAUCCUCUUCUAGAGUUCCUAUCGACAAGAGGGUUUACGACCUCGAUGUUGGAUCAGGACACCCCUAUAGUGCAGCCGCUAUAAAAGGUUCGUUUGUUCAACGAUUAAAGUCCUACGUGAUCUGAGUUCAGACCGGA
rnacentral:rRNA from 1 species